rnacentral:rRNA from 1 species
GACGAACGCUGGCGGCGUGCUUAACACAUGCAAGUCGAACUAAGAGCGAUGGAAGCUUGCUUCUCUCAAUCUUAGUGGCGAACGGGUGAGUAACGCGUAAUCAACCUGCCCUUCAGAGGGGGACAACAGUUGGAAACGACUGCUAAUACCGCAUACGAUCUAAUCUCGGCAUCGAGGAUAGAUGAAAGGUGGCCUCUACAUGUAAGCUAUCACUGAAGGAGGGGAUUGCGUCUGAUUAGCUAGUUGGAGGGGUAACGGCCCACCAAGGCGAUGAUCAGUAGCCGGUCUGAGAGGAUGAACGGCCACAUUGGGACUGAGACACGGCCCAGACUCCUACGGGAGGCAGCAGUGGGGAAUCUUCCGCAAUGGACGAAAGUCUGACGGAGCAACGCCGCGUGAGUGAUGACGGCCUUCGGGUUGUAAAGCUCUGUUAAUCGGGACGAAAGGCCUUCUUGCGAACAGUUAGAAGGAUUGACGGUACCGGAAUAGAAAGCCACGGCUAACUACGUG